rnacentral:rRNA from 1 species
GACGAACGCUGGCGGCGUGCUUAACACAUGCAAGUCGAACGGAAAGGCCCUGCUUUUGUGGGGUGCUCGAGUGGCGAACGGGUGAGUAACACGUGAGUAACCUGCCCUUGACUUUGGGAUAACUUCAGGAGACUGGGGCUAAUACCGGAUAGGAGCUCCUGCUGCAUGGUGGGGGUUGGAAAGUUUCGGCGGUUGGGGAUGGACUCGCGGCUUAUCAGCUUGUUGGUGGGGUAGUGGCUUACCAAGGCGUUUGACGGGUAGCCGGCCUGAGAGGGUGACCGGCCACAUUGGGACUGAGA